GACGCAACACAGCCCGUGAAAAGGCGGUGCGGGAGGCCGUCGGUGCGGAACGUGAGGCUACCUUACUGCCCAGUGCAGAUGAAAAACGUCUUCCCUGGUUUGGGGACAUGUUACCAGAUGGCUCUGAUAUAACCAUAUACGCCACUUCGCCUGCCUGGAUUACCUCUUUCUAAGUGAAAACGACCUGCUGAGCUGGAUGGUGGUAGCACACACUUUUAAUCCCAGCACUCAGGAGGCAGAAGCGAGAGAAUCUAUGAGUUCAAGGCCAGCCUGGUCUACAAAGUGAGUUGCAGAAAAGCCAGGGCUACGCAGAGAAAGUCUGUCUCAAAAUCAACCAACCAACGAAACAAACAAACAAAAAAUAAAUAAAACAAACAAAACAAACAGACAAAACUGUUUCACUCCCUUUCUGUUUGCUGAUUGGCUAUAGAUUCCUACUGCCCUUUGCCAACUUCUUACACUAACUAUGUUUAGAUUCGCUUCUCUGUUAGUUUUCUCCCAAGACUUCACUAGGAUGAUAAUGUUUCAACGUUAGGGUUAUCCUACAGAUGUUAAGCUGCUUUUUAAAAUGAGCAGCAGUUCUCAUCUUCCUCUAUAACAGAAAGAAAAUGGAUCAUCAAGAGUUCAGUCAGUCCUUUAUAAUUUAUAUAACACCUGUACUACUAUUUUUGUCACCUCAAAAAUUAAAAGCACUGCAUGUUUAAAAUUUUUCCCUUCCAAGAAUUCCUUCUACUUUCACGUCA